rnacentral:lncRNA from 1 species
GGCUACUAUACUAUUAUGAGUACGAUCGCGCUCGUACUCAUAAGUUGUUUUCGAUGAUAAAGCUUCCGAAUCGACGAUCCACACCGUUAAACGUUAUUUAGAGCAUUUGAAACAUCUAGAAAUCAAAUUUCAUAAUUUUUCAACAUCAUUUACCUUACGAUCAAAAGCUCACAAAAUUGACAAUUUUUAACGGCUGGUAUGGAAUACUUGCUAGUUUAACGGUGCAAAAGAAUCCGAAUAGGUCGAAGUUUUGAUAGAAAAUUCUAUUCACUACCUAGAUAAAGAUCAAUAACUCCGAUCUUAAAUUGAAGGAUCCGAUCAUCCAUUUUUAAGAUAUCGUUCGAUUUUGACCGUUUAUUUUAUGCCCGCUUGAUGGACUUUAUUAUGAUUUCGAAAAAUUACGAAAUUUAUUUUAUAGAAGUUUCAAAUACUCUAUAUAUAUAUAUAUAUAGAGAGAGAGAGAGAGAGAGAGAGAGAGUUGGGCUACUAUACUAUUAUGAGUAUUGGACCCUUCGUACUCAUAAGUUGUUUUCGAUAAUGGAGCUUCCGAAUAGACGAUCCACUCCGUUAAAUAUGAUCUAGAGUAUUUGAAACUUGUAGAAAAUAAAUUUUGUAAAUUUUCGAAAUCAUAAUAAAGUUCAUCAAGUGGGCAUAAAAUGAACGGUCAAAAUCGAACGACGUCCUUAAAAA